ACUGUUAACGCUAGGACAGUUUCGCAAACAAUAUACAUUUGCUAAAAGAUUAUUACAAAGAUACAGCCAUAUUACUGUCAUGUCAUUGUUACUUAAAAAUGAUAAAUCAUACGAUUAUAUCAAUACUAUCUUUGUAGGAGUCGCGUCUUAAACAAGCUGUGGCGAGAGAGAGAGAGAGAGAGAGAGAGAGAGAGAGACACUCGUUAGAGUACAGUUCGGGUGCCUCUCAAACAAAACUCGUGAAUCAGUAUGUAGCCAUAAAGAUUAUCACUGUCAUAUGUAUCAGCCAUCUUGAAUAGUAAUUUAGUAAAAACAAAUUGUAAAAAAAAAAAUUAUUUGUUUUUUAUAUUUAUUUGUUUGUUUGUUUGUUUUAUACCAUUAAUAUAAUGUUUGUCUUAUUUCUCUUUUGAGUACUGAUUUCAAUCUAGUCUUGAGUGCAAAGUUUAGCUCCAGCCCCAAUCAUGUACAGCUGAACCAGCUGAUCAGGGUCUUCAGGAGAACCACAGACUUUCAAGCAGGCGUGUGGACGGGUUGGAGCUGAACUCUGUCGGAUGUUGGUCCUUCAGGACACCACUGCUCUAAACAAAGAGCCACCAGGUCGCUGCAUCUUUUGUAAUAUGAUGGAACAAAAAGUAGGCUGGCCACAGCAUCUGAAAUGGAAACAUCUAUUAAAAUGCCUCCACAGUAUAAGACACUUGGGAUGGUGGAAGGAGCAGAGGAACAGGGUUCAGGCAGAGAUCUACUGUUGCCCCUUAGGGAACUGAUUUAUGAUCUACUUAACAUUCUGAUUUAGUAAUAAUUGAUCAUUGCUCUGUCCUAUAAAAUUAUUUAAUACUUUC